rnacentral:tRNA from 1 species
GGAAGGGUGGCCGAGCGGCUGAAGGCGGCGGUUUGCUAAACCGUUAUACGAUUGAGAAGUCGUAUCGAGGGUUCGAAUCCCUCUCCUUCCG